rnacentral:lncRNA from 1 species
CAUAGCUUUCUCCUGCAUAAAUGAACUCUAUGCAUCUUCCCUUAGGUCGGAAUCUGUAAUCUUUCUGAUGACCUUUAGCAUCAGUUUUCAUUCCAGUUGACGAAGGAUUCUUUUUACCUGAAAGCUGCAAGAUGCCAUUCCUACAUCCAAGAUAAGGGAAAGUGUACUGCAAGGUUUACUUCUGCACACAGCCAGAGGAAUGGCUGCCCAUCUCCAUUGAAGUCAAGGUAAAUUUUUCCUGCAUGGAUUCUUCAUAGACUUUACCCAGGAACAACAGAAAUGCCACCUGCUGCUGUGACAACCAUAGAGACUUUGCUUUUGUUGACUCUAUUCCAUCUUAUUAGAUAAAGAGAUUCCAGCUCCAGGAACUUGGGUAAGUCAUAGUCAUUCCACAAGGAAGUGGUCAGACCAGAUUCAAGUUCACCUCUCUUCACAUACCAGAGUCAAUACCUCCAACACUG